UGCGGGCCGUGGGGGGCGGCCUGGUCGCGCCUGGGGCGCCCUCGGGGCCGGGCCGCGUCGGGCCGCAGCUGCUGGUGCUCAGCGCCCUGGCCGAGAAGCUGCUGCCCGGGCCCGGCCGCGCGGCGCUGCCAGCGCUUCUGGAGGACCGUGCAGGCCGGGCGGGCCCCGGCCGAGGACGCGCUGCCUGCUGCAACGGGCGGUGGAGGUGUCGGCGGAGCUGGGGGCCGAGUGCGCGCCCCCCCCUCCCCCAACCCCGGCAAGGAAAUGGCACUUGCCUCUCUGUCCCCCGGCCCAUUCCUGCUUGACUUUCUGGGAGGGAGGUCUUCUCCUUCCGCCAGUCAGCUACCGGGGUCGUCUCCGGGAUCCACACAGAAUUUGAUUAUUCUCACGGUUCCCAGAAAGCCCGAAAAACUUGGGGAACCUCAUCUCAGCGUUGUUCUUUGAAGUGACACACAUCACUGGAGCCGAGAACAGUCUGCAUUUCCUCACCUUUCUGACCCACAGCAGGCCCAAGUCUGUGUUGGUGGUCUGAGAAGGAAAAAGAUGAGCUGCUAAAGUUUUAGGAAAACUGUAUUUUAAUUAUGGAAACUCUUGAAGGAAAUCAGAUACAUGUGAUAAAGCCAGUCUUACCAAAGCUAAACAAGCUGUUUGAAUAUGCAGUGUCAGAGGAAAAUGAAGAUGGGUUUGUAUGAUGAACCCUCAUCACCCAGCUUCCACAGUGAGCGGCUUGUGGCCGGCCUCUGCCUUACGUGUAACCUGCCCUGCUGCCAAGGAUUCCGAGGCAUGUUCCUAGACAGCGCAUCAUUUCAUCUGUAAUUAUUUCAGUAUAUAGCCUUAAGGGCUAAGGACUCUGGUAAUGUUUUAGUGAUGGCAUAUUAUACAUUUUAAUAAGAACUCUUUAGUAUUUUAAAUUUUAACUGCUUUCCAUUCUUAUUGUCCAUAUAUCUGUUUCAUUGUUCAAGUUACUUUUUUGGGGUUUCAGUUAUUGCUCUGUAGGUUGGACUUCCUAGGAAGAGAAAAUUCCAAGGUAUUGUUUUAAAUGUGGCUUUUAGGUCCUUAAUCAGUACGGUAUUAUGUGAGCAUUUUAGGAGAAAUAAAAUGAAGCCCGGAGAGCUUCCUAAAAUUAUUUUCUGAAAUUAAGUUUAGGUCAGUGGAACAGCUAAAUGCAGGCUAACGGUGUCUUGUAUUCACAUGAAUGAUAAAGUGCUUCAUUACCGUGUUUACGCACGAGAUUAACCUAGGAUGCUGGCUCUUCCACCCAUCCUGGCACCUGUGUAUUUAUAAGAGUGUUUGAAAGUGGAAACAAAAUCCUGACCAAAGAAGGCAUUACCCAUUUUUUGGAGCUGUGUGAAACAAGGGUUCUCCCAUUUUCACCAGAAUUUUCUGAGGUAAUGACAGUGAUUCCGUCCACGCGUUGCCUCUGUCAAAGGACGAAAGGCGAAGGCAUCCGUUGCAGCAGAUGAGAUCUUCAGAAAUAAAUACUAGGGCUCUAAGAUUAUGAGUAACAUUUUACAGAUUUGCGUACGUCAAAUCCUGUUUCUCUAAACUCAGCUAUCGUACUUGGAAAGACUUCCUGUAAUGUAGUUUGUCGACAGGUUGCCGGCCUCGUGACCAGUGUGGAAAAGGAGCUCUUUGGUGUCAGUGUUCUGAGCAGAAGUCAGCAGCAUGAAGACUGCGCUAGAAGCUUGUCGGCGGUCCUGUUCCACGGUCCUGAGUCUCUGAAGUCCUGCUGCCUGUCUCGUGAUGCCGCUCCCCCAGUUCUAAUUUAUUGUCGGACUGUUGAUGGACACACUUUCAGAGAGCUCUCUGUAUAGCAGGUAGUUUCCUGUUAAAGUUUAUUCAGAGGACGACAAGUAGACAUUGGUGUGCUGUCCCCAUUCUGCUUCUGUUUAAGGCUUUGGCAAAUGUCCCAAGAUGUAAAACUCUGUGUAUAGAAGGCCUUCUUGCCCUCAGGAGAGAGUGUCACUGUUGGACGUCUCAACUUUUCUCAUGUCUGUGAGGCAAGAGGACCCCUUAGGACGAUGGACUUCACUGUGGACAGAGGCUCACUCACUCUGUUAGAAGUCGCCUGAAUCACACACACAAAAAGCAGCUGGCACAAAGACUGGCUGCCCAGAUCGAAAUGAAGUGCCAGCUCAUCGACCGGCUUUACGCGGGUAGACAGGAGUGUGCCGGGGUGGAGACAGCUCUGAAGAACGCCGGGCGAGAGAAGGAGCCAGCAAACAUACCCGGCCUCGCUGCCGCUUACAGACACUUGGUGUCCGUCAACCUGAGUUCCAGGAAGGAAGUCAGUUGUGUCAUCGAAGAACUGAGGAAAGAGAGAUCCCUGCAGUUGAUUCAAGCAGAGAUGGCGGAGAUGCGGAGAGUGCUGGCGUUCCUGGAGGAGGUCACCACAAGCAGCACAUCGCAAGGGGCUGUUCCCACCGAGCCGGGAGACCCUGCGCCAAGCCCUGCUGGUCCCUCUCCCAGGAGUGGGCCCUCGUGUUAAAGCCGCGCUGUGCCCUCCCCUCUCACGCAGGCCUCCCAAGCUGCCGGGCUGCGUGCACUCACCCGGUCAGAUCUCCUCCUGCGCUGCCCUGAGGCCAGUGGAUGGAGGGCAGUCCCCUCCUUUGGACCAGAGUUCCUCCAGCUGUACCCGUGAGCACAGCAGUGAACACCUGCACGGUCAACUUCUCCAUCUCCAAUGUAUUCGAAUUCCCAGAACACACCAAGGAACGUGGGACUUCCUCAGUAUUCACAGACUGCUUGGAUUGUCUCUAAUUGGCAGUGAAGGAAAUGUGUUUAAGAGACUGAUCUUUUACUCAGUUUGAACGUUCCUUGCACCCCAUUUCUCAAGGCAGUUUUAGUAACUAUUAUACAUGAGCUGUAUAAGAGAACUGUAUAUACAGGUUUCUGUACACAAAUAUUGCAGUGUGAUUUGAUAAUAUGUGUAGUUUAUCAGUAUAGGCUUUUAGUUGGCCAUGGUAUUUUUUCUAGAGUUAAAAUCUUAAAAGUCAUCAGUUUAAGCUAAAGAAAUGUUUAUUCUUGAGUUUUGUAUUUAAAAAAAAAAGACAAUGUCUUUGAGAUGAUAAUAGAGUAUGCUUGUAAGAGUUUUUAUUGAAUAGUUAUAUUCUGUUGUAACGGUAGAUAUACUUAAAAAUAAAUUUGUUAAAUUA